AACAAUACCAAUUUUCUGGUAUUCAAAUUCAAAGCAUAUUCAGAUACAACUUUGCAAGUAAGCCUGCCACAUUACAACACAGGGCUACAAACAGAAGGAUGUCCAUGUAUAAUCUUCAAAUGGAGAAAUACAGAUUCAAGAAUGGCACAACUGAUUCUGGAAUGAAAAUUAUGCACCUAAAUGAAAAGGGAAUUGGAUCGUCUAUGUAACUUGAAGCCGUCAUAUCUUACAUGAAGCUAUUCUGAAGUAUCCACUACUUCUUCUCAUUAGUCUUCUUCUUGAAUGACCCACUUAGUGCUGCUUUUGUUUUCGUCCACUCCUUCAUUGAAGCAGCACUCUUCAUGAAAGAACAAGUUUCGCUGUAGUUAGUAUCUCCUACAAGUGCUUGUUUUGAUGCAGAUACAUGUUCCUUUUCGGGGGUUGGAGCACUGGCUUCAUUCUUCUUUGUUUCUUUCUGCUGAUAGUUGUCCAACACUGGAAGCUCUUUACUGAAAUGAACAUUAUUCUGCUCCUCAACAGAAACAUCUUGCGAAUCACUUUUAUCCAUGCUGUUAGAUUUUUGUGCUUUUACGGUCUCUCCUAUCACUGGCAACUCUGGUUUUGGAAGACUUAGACCAGGCAAAAUUUGUGAAAUGCUGAAAGAACUUCUAGUGGCAUCACGAACCAAUUCUGUCCAUGAAGAUUUUUGUCGCCAUGCAGCACCUCUGACAUAAAUAUCUACAGGGCUAUUGUCAGUGGCAAUUUUAUCCAGCUCCUCGUGCUGAUCUGAUACUUUCUCUUCAUAUUCAACUUUAUCCAGCUCUUCAUGCUGGUCUGAUGCUUUCUCGUCAUUUGAUAAUUCAUCUUCAGAUUCAGCUUUAUCCAGCUCUUCAUGCUGAUCAAAUACCUUCUCAUCGUUUGAUACUUCAUCUUCAGAUUCAACUUUAUCCAGCUGUUCAUGCUGAUCUAAUACUUCCUCGUCGUUUGAUACUUCAUCUUCAG
rnacentral:misc_RNA from 1 species